rnacentral:snRNA from 1 species
AGCUUUGUGCAGGGGCAGUAUCAUAGUCAAUGAGUUUAUAGGAGGCAUGAUUAUUGCAAAUUUAAGAACUAACCCCAGAAAU